UACAGAGGUCUCAAGCGUUGUUCGGAUUCAUUGGGCGUAAAGGGUGCGUAGGCGGCCCGGUAAGUCCGCUGUAAAAGUCCAGGGCUCAACCCUGGAAAGCCGGUGGAUACUGUCGGGCUAGAGUCCGGAAGAGGCGAGUGGAAUUCCUGGUGUAGCGGUGAAAUGCGCAGAUAUCAGGAGGAACACCAAUGGCGAAGGCAGCUCGCUGGGACGGUACUGACACUGAGACGCGAAAGCGUGGGGAGCAAACAGG
rnacentral:rRNA from 1 species